ACAUUUAACCAUUGCAGUGUUUUUUUUAAUAUAGGGCUACAUUCCAAAAAGCAAAUGGGAGAUGGACACAUCUGAGGCCAAACUCGACAAGCUGGACGGUCUGGGCAGCGGCGGGAAGAGGAAACGUGAAGGUGAACACAUGUCAGGCCUGGAGGACUACCUUCAGCUGCCAGACGACUAUGCCACACGCAUGUCUCAGCCGGGAAAGAAAAGGGUCCGAUGGGCUGAUCUUGAAGAGCAAAAGGACGCAGAUCGAAAGCGCGCUAUUGGUUUUGUGGUGGGUCAAACGGACUGGGAGAGAAUAACGGACGAGAGCGGCCAGCUGGCACAAAGAGCUCUUAACCGUACCAAGUAUUUCUAAGAAGAAAAUGCCUUUUUUUCGGUUCACUAAAAGGUGUCCAGAAUGUGAAAACACUGAAGCUUCUCAGCGGCGAAACAUUCGUUGAACAGUUCUUUCUCAGUUGAUGUAUUAAGACAGAUAUGACAUCGUUUUUUUUUUGGUUUGUUUUUUUUUUGGUCAUCUGGAUAUUCACCAAUGAAUUUGUAGUUUCUAAUUCUGUGCUACUUCUGGUAACGCAUCCCGCUUCGUUCGUUGCUGUUUUAUACUAUUCCUACUUCAUGUACUGUGUACUUGUAGCACUAUUUCUUGGUCCAUGCAUAGUUGAAAACGACAAUAAAGGUUUCACAAAAAUGUAAA